UACAGAGGUGGCAAGCGUUGUUCGGAAUUACUGGGCGUAAAGGGCGCGUAGGCGGCCUUCUAAGUCAGACGUGAAAUCCCCAGGCUUAACUUGGGAACUGCGUCUGAUACUGGGAGGCUUGAGUGCGGGAGAGGGAUGUGGAAUUCCAGGUGUAGCGGUGAAAUGCGUAGAUAUUGGGAGGAAUACCAGUGGCGAAGGCGGCUCCCUGGACCGGUACUGACGCUGAGGCGCGAAAGCGUGGGUAGCAAACAGG
rnacentral:rRNA from 1 species